rnacentral:piRNA from 1 species
UCUCUGACAAGGAGAUUGAUAUUGUGAUC